UACAGAGGGCUCAAGCGUUGUUCGGAUUCAUUGGGCGUAAAGGGUGCGUAGGCGGCGCGGUAAGUCGGGUGGGAAAUCUCGGGGCUUAACUCCGAAACUGCAUUCGAUACUGCCGUGCUUGAGGACUGGAGAGGAGACUGGAAUUUACGGUGUAGCGGUGAAAUGCGUAGAUAUCGUAAGGAAGACCAGUGGCGAAGGCGGGUCUCUGGACAGUUCCUGACGCUGAGGCACGAAGGCCAGGGGAGCAAACGGG
rnacentral:rRNA from 1 species